AGGCCGGGGGAGGGAGGAGGACGGGAGGCACCCCCGGUCCAGCAGGCAGCGGGCGGUCCCCCGGGCCCACCCAGCACUCCAAGGCCAGCCAGCUUGGCUCCAGCAGGGCGGGCCCCACAUCCGCCUGCCCCACCUGCAAGCGUCAGGGACCCCGACCCCGCGGCUCCUCCGGCCGCUCUUGAGAAAGGCAGAGGGCCUGGGGCAGCCAGCCUGGCCAAGCCUCGGUCCCCAGAGGUGUUGACCCCGGUUCUCACCAGGCUGCCCCUGAGGACUCAGGACAGCAAGCGGAUCAGACAAGGCCCUGCCCUCACGGAGCGCGGGGAAGAGGCCAAGGACACCAGAAAGCUCAGGCGUCAGGCCAAGGGAGGCCUGUCUCGGCAGGGUCCUCUCCGAGAACAAGAGCGGACCGCUCUCUUAGCGGGCUGGGGGCGAGCCCACAGGGUGAGAACCACCAGUGUGUGGGAGCGGGAAAGGUAUCCGAGCUGAGGGAAUGGCAGAUGCAAAGGCCCUGGAGCAGAAGAACCACGGUGUCUCGCUGCAGUCUCUCUCACCUCAAGCAGGGCCUGUCAGCUCUCACCCGAUAACCUGUCUGAGUCACUCCAUGACUGUCAUUCUGUCUCCUCUUCGCAAGUCGGCCUCGGCACCUCACGGCCCGUGGACAAACCUGGAAGCCCUUGCCUGGCCGUCGUUGGAGCCACGUGGCCCCAGGAGCGCCCGGGCUCAGCCCAGCCAAGACGUCCCCGAGCCUGGCUCAAGCUGCACACCGCCCACCUCCGCGUCCCCACACUCCCCCCCACCCCACCCCCGAGGGUGUCUUGCCCUGAGACCUGGGUGGGACCUCUCGUGUUCAGUGUCCAGAACUGGGCCUGGCUCACUGGGGAGAGAGCAAGGCGAACGCACGCAGACACACAGGCCUGACAAAGGCUCACAGCUGUUGACAGAAAGAGCCCGGGACACACCUAGAGGCGGCAGGAGAGACUUCACGCAGGCCCCUGCAGUGGGGAGAGACCCCACAAGGACUCCAGGGUUUAAAGGGAGAGCAGGAGUCUCCCGGUGGCUCAGCCAGUUAAGCAUCUGAGGCUGUCACUGCUGUGGCACAGUUUCGAUCCCUGGCUCAGAACUUCUUCAUGCCUCGAGUGCGGCCAAACAAUAAAUAAAUAAAGGGAUGACGUUUUCGUUG
rnacentral:lncRNA from 1 species